rnacentral:rRNA from 1 species
CGCUGAGGAGCGAAAGCGUGGGGAGCGAACAGGAUUAGAUACCCUGGUAGUCCACGCCGUAAACGUUGGGAACUAGGUGUGGGCGACAUUCCACGUCGUCCGUGCCGCAGCUAACGCAUUAAGUUCCCCGCCUGGGGAGUACGGCCGCAAGGCUAAAACUCAAAAGGAAUUGACGGGGGCCCGCACAAGCGGCGGAGCAUGUGGCUUAAUUCGACGCAACGCGAAGAACCUUACCAAGGCUUGACAUACACCGGAAACCUCUGGAGACAGGGGCCCCCUUGUGGUCGGUGUACAGGUGGUGCAUGGCUGUCGUCAGCUCGUGUCGUGAGAUGUUGGGUUAAGUCCCGCAACGAGCGCAACCCUUGUUCUGUGUUGCCAGCAUGCCUUUCGGGGUGAUGGGGACUCACAGGAGACUGCCGGGGUCAACUCGGAGGAAGGUGGGGACGACGUCAAGUCAUCAUGCCCCUUAUGUCUUGGGCUGCACACGUGCUACAAUGGCCGGUACAAUGAGCUGCGAUACCGCGAGGUGGAGCGAAUCUCAAAAAGCCGGUCUCAGUUCGGAUUGGGGUCUGCAACUCGACCCCAUGAAGUCGGAGUCGCUAGUAAUCGCAGAUCAGCAUUGCUGCGGUGAAUACGUUCCCGGGCCUUGUACACACCGCCCGUCACGUCACGAAAGUCGGUAACACCCGAAGCCGGUGGCCCAACCCCUUGUGGGAGGGAAUCGUCGAAGGUGGGACUGGCGAUUGGGACGAAGUCGUAACAAGGUAGCCGUAUCGGAAGGUGCGGCUGGAUCACCUCCUUUCUA